ACCGUACUCCUACGGGAGGCAGCAGUGGGGAAUUUUGGACAAUGGGGGCAACCCUGACGCAGCAACGCCGCGUGGGUGAUGAAGGCCUUCGGGUCGUAAAGCCCUGUCAGGUGGGAAGAAACCUGUGGAUGCUAAUAUCAUCCGCAAUUGACGGUACCGCCGAAGGAAGCACCGGCUAACUCCGUGCCAGCAGCCGCGGUAAUACGGAGGGUGCAAGCGUUGUUCGGAAUUAUUGGGCGUAAAGCGCGUGUAGGUGGUCGGGUAAGUCAGAUGUGAAAGCCUUCUGCUUAACAGAAGAAGUGCAUUUGAAACUACCCGGCUAGAGUACGGGAGAGGAGAGUGGAAUUCCCGGUGUAGAGGUGAAAUUCGUAGAUAUCGGGAGGAACACCAGUGGCGAAGGCGGCUCUCUGGUCCGAUACUGACGCUGAGACGCGAAAGCGUGGGGAGCAAACAGGAUUAGAAACCCGUGUAGUCCUUGAC
rnacentral:rRNA from 1 species